rnacentral:misc_RNA from 1 species
GAUGAAGAACGUAGCGAAAUGCGAUAAGUAGUGUGAAUUGCAGAAUUCAGUGAAUCAUCGAAUCUUUGAACGCACAUUGCGCCCUUUGGUAUUCCUUAGGGCAUGCCUGUUCGAGCGUCAUUUAAACCUUCAAGCUAAGCUUGGUGUUGGGUGACUGUCCGCUUCACGGCGGACUCGCCUCAAAAUUAUUGGCGGCCGGUACAUUGGCUUCGAGCGCAGCAGAAACGCGAACUCGGGCCCGUCGUGUUGGCUCCCAGAAGCUAUCUUCACAAUUUUGACCUCGGAUCAGGUAGGGAUACCCGCUGAACUUAAGCAUAUCAAUAAGCGGAGGA